rnacentral:rRNA from 1 species
GAUGAACGCUAGCUACAGGCUUAACACAUGCAAGUCGAGGGGAAACGACAUCGAAAGCUUGCUUUCGAUGGGCGUCGACCGGCGCACGGGUGAGUAACGCGUAUCCAACCUGCCCACCACUUGGGGAUAACCUUGCGAAAGUAAGACUAAUACCCGAUGAUAUCUCUAGAAGACAUCUGAAAGGGAUUAAAGAUUUAUCGGUGAUGGAUGGGGAUGCGUCUGAUUAGCUUGUUGGCGGGGUAACGGCCCACCAAGGCAACGAUCAGUAGGGGUUCUGAGAGGAAGGUCCCCCACAUUGGAACUGAGACACGGUCCAAACUCCUACGGGAGGCAGCAGUGAGGAAUAUUGGUCAAUGGGGCGAGAGCCUGAACCAGCCAAGUAGCGUGCAGGACGACGGCCCUAUGGGUUGUAAACUGCUUUUAUAAGGGAAUAAAGUGAGUCUCGUGAGACUUUUUGCAUGUACCUUAUGAAUAAGGACCGGCUAAUUCCGUG